AGCAGCCGCGGUAAUUCCAGCUCCAAUAGCGUAUAUUAAAAGUUGUUGCAGUUAAAAAGCUCGUAGUUGAAUUUCGGGAUCAGUUGGUCGGUCGUGCCUCGGUACGUACUGGUCAAAUUGAUUCCUACCUUCUGACGAACCACGAUGUCAUUAAUUUGGUGUCGCGGGAAAUCAGGACUGUUACUUUGAAAAAACUAGAGUGUUUAAAGCAGGCUCGCGCUUGAAUACAUUAGCAUGGAAUAAUGAAAUAGGACGUUCGAUCCUAUUUUGUUGGUUUCUAGGAUUGACGUAAUGAUUAAUAGGGAUAGUUGGGGGCAUUAGUAUUCAAUUGUCAGAGGUGAAAUUCUUGGAUUUAUUGAAGACUAACUACUGCGAAAGCAUUUGCCAAGGAUGUUUUCAUUAAUCAAGAACGAAAGUUAGGGAUCGAAGACGAUCAGAUACGUCGUAGUCUUAACCAAUAACUAUGACCGACGUAGGGUAUCGGAUGAUUGUUUAAUUUUUAAUGUACUUCUAUUCGGCG
rnacentral:rRNA from 1 species